rnacentral:tRNA from 1 species
GUGGAGAUAGUGUAAAGGCUAACACUGCGGUCUCCAAAACCGUCGAUCUGGGUUCGAGUCCUAGUCUCCGCGCCA